rnacentral:tRNA from 1 species
AGUCCUGGCCGCGCUUCCGCGGCGAGGCCAAAUUUGCAAUUUGGCUUGACCCAGGACCUCGUUUGUUG